AGCAAGUGUUAUACGUCUAAGCAGCGAGGCUUCAAACACGCGAAAUAAAUCGAGAUAAAUCGAGGUAGCGAUAUAAAAUAAAAAUUCCUUGGCACGCGUCUGUACUGCUCUUUCGUUCAGUUGAAAAAGUUGAGUGUUUUGAUCGAUUGAAGCAAAUACGGUGAUCAGAAUUAGGAUGUGUGCGAAUCAAAGCUUCGGAUAGAGAACGACGCGACCGAAAUUGCUCGCCGAUCACGAGAAGCUAACAUGAGAGAAGCUAAACGGAUGGACCUGCGUACACAUCGCUGUAACAUUCACCAGAGCAAAGUAACAGAAUGUGGAUGGCUCGCCGCUGUAAACAAAGUGCAUCGAGCCAUACGGGCUCGUAUAAUGGCAGAGAGUCAUUUCAGGGGCAGUUAAGCCCCAACGACUUAUUCCUUCUUUCCCAUCUUCAAAAGAACCGCUAUGCAGCGACAGCGGUAUCCUAAUGCGGAGAGCUACUAAUCCUGUAGAAGUACUUCUGUUUCUUAUUUGCAAAAGAGGACUGUCGCGACAUUUGACGAGCACACAUGAGAUAUACCAUCAAUAAUAUUAAAUUGGAUAAUUUUUCAGAGCAGGUAUUUACUUCUUAAAAAUAGAACAACACUUCAUCAUCUUGGAAGUUUAAUGUGAAAACCGUUUAAUCGUAUAUUUCUCUAUAAGAGCCAGAGAAGAAUUCCAGAAAAUCUACACGGAAAGAAUUUUAAAAAUUACUAUAUACUUAAUAACCGAGGAACAAGUCGACAUUUUUCAAUAAUUCGCUACUCCUUUAUUUGCUACUUAAAUUUUAGACACUGAAAUAUACUAAUAAAAAAUUGCUAUAUUUCUAACAAAUAUUUCUAACAAAAUCUUCUGUGUUUCUAGCGAAAUUUACCAUCUUCCUCAGCAAGAUAAAUUCUACGUUUUCUCUAUGUUUUUAGUAGCUCUAUUCCAUCGACGAGAAUUUAUACGAAAAAAGAAAAGCUAUAACAUUCUCUACGUGUAAGAAUGUAUGUUUCUCAAGUUGUAAGAGGAUACCGGCUUAAAUGUUCGCCAAGAAAAUGUGGGAUUACGCGAAAAAAAAUAUGAAACUCGCGGGAUAUAAAAUUCUACUACCGGUGUACACGUGUAUUUUCCCCUCGGAUAUCCGAUAUUUUGUUGCUACGAUUACGACUGUAACGGACUAUAACCGUUAUCGUUACGCUACACGCCGAAAAUCGCCACUUUUUUUUCAUUUUAUGAGUUGAACUCGUAAUCGUCGAUUAGAAAUAUCUGGAAACGGCCGCUUGUAUACACACGGCGAAAUACGAAGCCGAUACAUCGUGCAAAAUGAUUUUUGAUAACGCGUAGACGAUGAGAAACGGUUUUCAGGAUUACACCCGUUAUUUCUUUCCUUUUCGCGACCACUUGUGUUCUUCUCGAAUUAAAUAUCAGAUAUACGACGUCGAGACCUCUAUUAAAAAUAUUUUCAAGACAACCGAACUUGACAUUAUGAUUAUGCUUAAUUUCACGGUCCGCGUUAAAUUCCGGAAUCCGUAAAUCCUCGGCUUAUUAGAUCCUCGGAUUUUCGAAAGCUCAUAUAUUUAAGAACACGGGAAUCUAAAUAUCCGCGAACUUCUUCGGUAAACCUCGUGCCUCCGAAACGACUGCCGCCGCCGCCGUUGAAACAAAUUGCGAAAUAAUUUCGCUGCCGAAGUUCAGCGGAGGGUCCAUUUGCCGCAGCGGGGCCGCGCAUUUCGAUUCGAGCAAACGAAGGCACAGCUUGGCCAUUCUUUCUCAUUUCGUCGUGGCGGCAGCGGAGUCAGCGUUCCUUAAGACGGCCGGCAAGAAUCCCGGCAGCGUCGUCGUCGCUGAUUGCGCAGUCUAAUUAUAAUUUCCGGAGGACUCGGGCAAUUAGCAUCCAGCAGCUGCAACGAGCAACUGCGCACGCCGCUGCGCAUCUUAUUAUAUCGUCUUUUGUGCGCGAACGAGACUCAAAGCUGCCGGACGCGGCAUUCGAGCGACGCGAGAUGCAACGCCGAACAGAGAACGAUAUCCGCUUCAAGGACAAGGACGAAUCGCGUUCUCUCCUACGCUUCGAGGCCUCCUCACUCGGAGCGGCCGAUAAUUAUUACAGAGCGCUCGACGUAAAUGGGCAUCUCGGGGCCAAGUCGUCUCCAUUCCGUCUGUCCUCGGUUGCAGGGGAUAAAACAUUCGAUCGUCGCUUGCUCGCUCACUCGCCAUUUCGCGCAAUUUUCAC